UACGGGGGGGGCAAGCGUUGUUCGGAAUUACUGGGCGUAAAGGGCUCGUAGGCGGCCAACUAAGUCAUACGUGAAAUCCCUCGGCUUAACCGGGGAACUGCGUCUGAUACUGGAUGGCUUGAGAUUGGGAGAGGGAUGCGGAAUUCCAGGUGUAGCGGUGAAAUGCGUAGAUAUCUGGAGGAACACCGGUGGCGAAGGCGGCAUCCUGGACCAUGACUGACGCUGAGGAGCGAAAGCCAGGGGAGCAAACGGG
rnacentral:rRNA from 1 species